rnacentral:rRNA from 1 species
UACGAGAGGCCCAAACGUUAUUCGGAAUUACUGGGCUUAAAGAGUUCGUAGGCGGCGCAGAAAGUAGGGUGUGAAAGCCCUCGGCUCAACCGAGGAAUUGCGCUCUAAACUACUGUGCUUGAGGAAUCUAGAGGUGAGCGGAACUGAUGGUGGAGCGGUGAAAUGCGUUGAUAUCAUCAGGAACACCGGAGGCGAAGGCGGCUCACUGGGGAUUUUCUGACGCUGAGGAACGGAAGCCAGGGGAGCGAACGGG